CUAAAUACAUGAAAUUGCUAUCAUAGCUUCUGUUAAAUGGAGGGAACAUUUAAUUUUACUUAAAGACUGAACCCUGGAAAUGCCCUGAGAAAAGCCACAUGGGUAUAGGGCCAGAGCAAGAGCUCAGCUGAGGAUGGAGAGACUGUAACAGCCUGGGAACAGGGAGCAUGUCCUUUCCAUCUGACAUGUCUGAGAGCAGAACUUUGCUAAUUCAGAUUAACGACUGGGAGAUCUACUGCAAAUUACUCUAUUUUGUGGAGGAAGAACAAUGAUGACAUCCCAAUCAGUCUAACUUAACAAAUGUAAGUUACAAUGACAAGACAACCUGCUUCAGUCAGCUCAUACCAAGCCCAAUUGAAGGGAGGCCAAUGGCUCUUAAUCAUUUGUCAGAGGGUGCAGAACUUAUCAGUUAAUUUUAGAUAGAAGAAACUGAAAAAGAAACAUCUGGAUAAAACCUAAUUGAAAAUCUAGCCAUGCACAUUUGGCACAAAAUUAUUUAAGCAAAAUAUGCUUCUUGUGAAAGGAUACUCAAUUAAAUAUUGAAAUAUUUGUGCCCUACUUUAGUGCAGUUUCUGUGGAACAACUGUUUGAACAAGAGAAACAAAUUUUAUUUGUAGUUUGGAAGUGUUGAGUAGGAUGUCAAGACAAGAUCUAGUGAGGCAAUGUUUACAAAGAUAGGGUUUUUCUAAUAAGUUGAAACCUUUCUCAAAGGCAGAAAAAUCAUCUUUUAUCAGAAAUAAAUUUUCUGGAGAGCAUCUGUAGAAGUGUAUAAAAGUCUAAUAAAUUAGGUUCAAGUCAUCUUUUUCAGAGAGCAACUCUGGAGAUCACAGUUCAGUGUGGCUGAAAUUCUAGAACACUUACGAUCUUCCAGGAUUUCCUUUAGUGAAACUUCCAAACAUUCUAUAACACACAAAAGGUUUGGAGGAGAAAAUCUUUCUAAGUUAUAGCUAUAUAGCUGGUUAUAUAGCAAAAUGCAAUCCUUGCACUGGAGGAAGAAGCAAGACGGACACUUCCAGCUCCCUGUUUGCAGAGAAGAAAGCGAUUCCCAAGUUCUGCCAGCCGCGCAUCAAUUGUGGGAAUUGCACGGCCUGAGCGGAACACGCACAUCACCUCCCUCUCCUGGCCCUGCAGCCUCUGCCCUCGGCUGUCUCCUUUCAUUAACUGCUUCUCUGCCUUGCAGAGCAGCACCAGGUGGGCUGACUUCUAUGGCAGGAGCAAUAUUCUUGGCAGACUUACGGCCUUUACCCAGCGGAACCAAUGGACAAUGAGUCGAGCUGAGCCUUUUUAUUGACUGAGUUUCCAUUACCUUCACAGGCUUUCUUUCCUAGCUUGUUCUUUUAUCUUAUUAUGGGCAGAACCUACAUUUACUGGACAAUAGCUUCCACAUUGGUCUCUUUUCAUUUCCCAGAAGAUAUAACUACUACACUUUUAAAAAUUACUCUCAAGGCCUGUUCUUAACCCUCUUUACAAAAAACUAUUUGUUAAUUCGGUAAAUGCACCAUGUAACUGUCUUUAUACCAUAGCAUUUACACCUACACACCUAAAGGGACUCUAUUUCAAAUAUUCCAUGUGUUUCCUACAAAGCUACAGUAGUCUUACAAAUUUUUAGACAUUUUCUAGUUGCUUUUACAGGAUUUGUUAAAAUUGCCUUUAGAAAUAGUUUAGGAACUAAGUUAUAAAAUUACGAUUAAUUUUAUUUCCUCCUUAUUUAGGAACACAUCCUCUGUGAAAAACAUUACAGUUUUCCAUUAUAAAUGAAAGGUAAUGAUGUGAAUAAUGGUAUUCAAGUCACAUCAUCUCCAGUUUUUAUAUCAUGAUGCAAACUGACCUCAUAAUUUUGUCAUCUUCUGUAUUUACAGCCCAAUAAUGCUUUUCUGGCAGUUCGCAAGGAUUACUGAAUUUAUGAGGCACUUGCAAGUCAGGUGUUUUAUGAAUACCACCUGCAUUUCUCGAAAAUGAUUUCUAGGGAAAUUUAAGUCUACUGUGUGUACUGGAUUAAAAUAGCAUAAGAACUAAAAAAUAAAUUAUAAUAUUUUGUUUUAAAUUUUAUUAUAUGGAAAUACAAGUUUUCAUUGUUGAUCAUAUUAACUUGAUAUGAUGAAACACUUUCUUUUUACAGAUAAUGGUGUUUGUUUUUCCAGUAUAUAAAGUUUACCAGUACCAAAUUGCUUUAGCACAUGCAUAAAAAUAACUUAAUAAAACUUGACUUAACCAACAUAUGGGCAAAAAGAACACAAAAAAAUGUAGCUUGCACUAAAAUAUAGGCAAUUAUAAUGUCAUCAGAACUAUAAAAUCAAUUUUGGAAUAAAGAGUCCAAAGUUCUGUCUUAAGGUACCUCCUGUUGUACUCUGUGGACUGUAGUCAAUUAUCUCUGUCCACUUCAUCCAUUCAACAGCUCAUAAGGAGAUGGUUCUUUAGACAACCAUCACCCACAAGGCAGAGAGGUCUUCCAGACAAACAUAAGUACCUUGAUUUACAUGUGAAGGGGAACAGGAAUCCAGGAUUAUUCUUUUAACUCCAGUAAUAUAUUGGAAAGAUAUGGCUAUGUCUUGCAAUAACUGAUGCAUCUGGGUGAACGUGCACAGAAAGUUUCAGAUUGUUCACUUCAUAAAAUCUAAUCAGAAGAUUUUGAAUCCAUAAAAAUAUGGAUAGCAAGUGAGAAAAGUGGCUGAAAACAUCUGUGUGAGGAGAAACACAUUAUCUGACUGACAGUGAACUCUCAGAGAACAUUUCAGACUGUUGGUAAAAUAUAAAGAAGUUGCAACUGAAACGUCCUCUCCUCCCAUCCCUGUCCCCCAACACACAUAACAUCAUCCAGUUAAAACUUGGACAAGCAAAAUCCACGUUAAUGACACCAAGUGAAAGUGAAAUAGGACUGCUUUUAAAAAUUAGUACACCUCUUGUUCAGGCAGUUAAAAAAUUGACAAAGUGAUGUUCAGGUUUCACAGGUACAAAGCAGGUCUGAAACUGGACAAUUAAUCUUGAUUGUCUGAACAGUCUCAAUGUGAUUAAUUUUCCUUAGCCACCUUCUCCCCUUGUCAUCUCACCUUACAUUAAAUUCACAGGGAUUUUGUUCCCGAUUCCAAACAAAACAGAUCAAGCUAAAAAUCUGACACACAAAAUAUGCUGUAGACAGGAUCCAUUUGCUCUAUCCCAGAGUGUUGUAACUCCCUCUCCUAACUGGGCUAUCUAU